UGAAAUACGAGAAAGAAUGCCUAAAGGAUUGAUUCAUAUCCUAACUAAUUCAUGUAUGUUGUAAGGGCUCCAAUGUCAAAGAUACAAAGAGAAAACCUGAAAACGCUACACCCAGGUGACAAAUAAGUUAAAAUAUUCGAACAAAAUAGAAAGAGGAAUUUCGUUAUCUAAGGCCGAAGAUGAUAUACUAUUAAUGAGAUAACUUAACCCACAAAACUUUGAGAAACCUCACCAUGGAUUAAAAGUGUGAAUUGUAAGCAGAUUAUCUCCGUGCAUAGUCAUUUUGUUUCUGUUGGAUUUUCUUGUAUCCCUCUGAUCAGGUAUAAACAUCAAUACCAGUUUAGUUAUUUCCUAAAUUUGAUACCUUGCUUCCUAUAAAUUUGUCAGUUUAAUUUACUACUGAUUUUCUUUUCAUUUUCUCUUUUCAAUUAAGUUUAUGGCUGGGUGAAAUAAAAUUUUAAUCUUAUUUUGGCCUACUUUGAAAUCAAUUCCCUAUUUUUCUUAGGGGGCAAAACUGAACAACGCCAACUUGAAGGGUGCAAACCUUCAACGAGCUUAUCUUAGUCAUCUUAAUCUUCGAUAUACGCACUUGGAAGGUGCGAGGCUUGAUGGUGCCAAUACUGUUGGAGUAAUCAGAUAAUAUUUGUGCCGGAAAUUAAAAAAAUUGGAAUUUGUAAUAUGGCUAUAAAAUGUCAGUACUAGAUGACUGAACUUGGGAAUUUGAAAGUUAUCUCGUGUAUGAGAGCGUAAGUAUAAGUGCUUCUGGUAAAGUGAUAUUUUAGUUGGGUCUGCUGAUCUCCAACAAUAACAUGCGGCUGAUAUUGUGAGAUAAAGUUGUUUAUGUUGUUCUUGUUCAUAUUUUGUGUUGAUUCUGGUUUUUUGGCUUUUCUUAUGUACCAAGAAUAUUACUAAUUUGUUAUGUGAACUAUGUUGUGUACAGCGCAUGGCUGAUAAGAAGUUCGUAUUUAUGAAUCAUGAUUGUCUUGUAU